rnacentral:rRNA from 1 species
UUGUUAAAUGAGAUUGUAAAUCUAUAAAUAUUAUUUACACUAAUAAAAUAAAAAUAUAUUUACCAAAAAUUCUUUUUGUAUAAUGAGUAAAAGACCGAAUUUUAGUGAGUAAGCAGAAUAUUUAAAAAUUCUCAACAAAAAAGCAUUUAAACAAUAUAACGAACUAAAAAAACUGAAAUUUCUCAAAUUAUAAAAAUAAUAAUAUAAAAAAUUGUAUAUUGAUAAGUACAAACAUUUAUAAAAUAUUUCCAAAUAAUAAUUUCAUUUAAAUCAAUAAUUAUGUAGAGAAAUUAAAAAUUUUUACAAAAAAAAUUUUUUUUAAAUAUCUAAAAAAUUUCCCGAAUGUUUAUCAAAAACAUUUCCUACCUAUGUAGGUAUACCCUGCCCAAUGACAUAAAUGGACAUUAGUUAAAGUAGCAAAAUUAAUAGUCACUUAAUUAGUGGAUCGUUUGAAUGGGAUCUCGAGGAAAAAACUUAUUUAAAAAAAUUCAAAAAAUAAUUUUGGUGAAAAUUCCAAAAAAAAAGAAAAAGACAAAAAGACCCUAAAAACUGGCAGUGCAUAGUUGGGGCAACUAAACUAAAAACCAGUUUUAAAAACCUCUUUUAAAGAAGUUACUUUAGGGAUAACAGCGUAAUAUCAAAAAAGAAGAUCAAAUUUUUUUUUGAGAGUACGACCUCGAUGUUGAACUAGAACAAAUAUAUUGCAGAAGAUAUACACUAUAGACUGUUCGUCUAUAUGUUCUACGUGAUUUGAGUUCAAACCGGCGAAAGCCAGGUUGGUUUAAAUCUUUUAUUAUUCUUUAGAAAUAAAGUACGAAAGGAAAUAAAUCUAUUUACACAAUUAAAUUCUUUGUCAUAGAAUCAAAAAUUGAGUUUAAGUCUCAAAAAUCUUUUUUAACUUCUAAUUACCAUAAUUAAUUUUCUUGUAAAAAAUAU